UUUCCGUAGGUGAACCAGCGGAAGGAUCAUUAUAGAGUUCCUGCUCUAACGGGUAGACCUCAAACCCCGCGUCUUCAUACCUUGUUGCUUCGGCGGGCCCUCUAGGCUCCGGCCUAGCCAUGGGCUUCGGCUUGUUAGUUCCUGUCCGCAGACACUAAAACUCUUGAUAUAAUUGUAGUUUGAGCAAAAAAUCAAUUGAUCAAAACAUCCAACAAUGGAUCACUUGGUUCUGGCAUCGAAGAAGAACGCAGCAGAUCGGUUGAGCACACGUCUGAACUC
rnacentral:misc_RNA from 1 species